AACAAAAAAAACUACUCAAUUCAAGAAGUCUUCCUCCAUAACAAAGCUUCUCUUUUCUAGCUUCCUCUUUUAAGUUGAAUUUUCCGAUCUUAGUUAACGAUCUUGGGCUAGCAGAAGGUCUCCCCAGUUACACCUUUCUUCUGUUAUUCUCCACAUGGUAUCACAACCAACACUACAAUAAAAUGUAUCUAUAGUUACGAAAUCUAAGAUAUGAAUUUAAAUUUCGUAGCUAUUAUCUAGUAAUAGCCACAAAAAUUUCAAUCUGUAGCUAUUUACUAAUUUGUAAAAUUUCUCAGCCACGCAAAUUAAAUUGGCAAAACUAAUUUCUCAUAGUUGCUACCAGUAUUAUUAAUCGUGGUAAUAAUUGCCUAAUUAGCUACAAAUCUAUUGCUACAGUAAAAAAAUUGGUAGCUAAUCAUAAGUUUUUGUCACGCCAUAAAAGUUAUCAUAGCAGUAGUAACUCUUUUAGCCAUAAGAAACUAUAUGAAAUAAAAUAUGUAGCUAAUAUAUUUUUUUUUGCUUUAGGAUAUAAAACUUGUAGCAAUAAUCACAUGAUAUAGCCACGUCUUUUUUUUCUAUGAUAAAAUUUCGUAGCUAAUUAUUAAUAUUUGCCACAAGUUGAAACGUAUUAUAGUAAUAGAAUCUUUUAGCCACAAAAAAUAUUUAAAAUAAAAUAUUAUGGAUGAAUAAAUAUUUUUACUUCAUUGUUUAUAAAAUUAUUGCAAUAGUUAAAUGAUAUAACCAUAAAUAUUUUGCUACAGUAAAAUUUCGUAGCUAAUUAUUUAUUUUUGCCAUGUAUCAAAACUUGUUGUAGCAAUAAUGACAUUUUAGCAAUGAAAAAGAUUAUUUAAAAUCAAAUAAUAUAACUAAACAAAUAUUUUUGCUUUGAUUACUAAUAAAAUCAUGCAUGGCGAUUGGUGACUUAAUAAUAGCUAUAUUAUUUGUCAUGACAAAUGAUUUAGCUGUAAAUUUAAUAUUAUGACAAAAUUUGAUGGCUAAUAAUUAUUUUUUACUACAAGUUGAGAUUUAUUGUAUACUGAUACAAUUCUAGUGUAACUAGAGGUGUUAAACAUUCCUUUUGAUUCAAUACUAUAUAUCUAUUUGUUGAAUUUCGAAUAUAAUUUUAAAAAAUAAGUGAUCAUAUCUAAUUAAAUUUGAUUAACUAAUUAUAUCGAUCUUAAAUAUAAUUUUACCAAAAUUUUCUAAAAUUUUAUCUUGAUCAUGUGCUUCUGAAAUUGUUAUUUGACUCAAACUUGUUUUAUCACAAUAAUAUGUUUAUCAAUUUAAUGUGAUUUGAGGCAUUAAUUGUUAAUUUAAUUCAAUUUUAUAGCUUAUAAGUUUUAAGUAAAUAUUUGAUUAUAUUUAUUUUAACUAACAUUAAAUUAGGAGAACUUCAAUAAGUCUCGUUCAAACUUCAUCCUCGCCAAGUAUUUUCAAAAUUGUUAUUUGGUUCAUACACGUAUAUACACACACACACAAUAAUUGUGUAUAAACAAAAGAAAUAAUUAAUUUCAAAUAACAAAAUUAAAAUACAAAAUAAAAGUGUAAUCUUCAAUAAUAAAUAUUUUAUAAACCUACUUAUAACCUUAAAAUUAUCAUCUGCCUUUCUACAUUGUCAUCUCAAUAGUUUAUUUUUAUUGCAAUGUGGUUUUUUUUGGAUGCUUAUUGUAUUUUUAUUAAUUGCAAGUCAAAUUUUUUUACUGAAAGUUAUAAAGAUGUUUAUAUAUGCUUGGUGCUUUAUUAUUUUAAAUUAAGUGCAUAUUUUUUUAAUAUGGGAUCAUUUACUCUUUUAAAAGUAUUCAUAAAAACUUUAAUAAAUCUAGAGAUAUUAUAUAUGAUAUUAGCAUGUACAUUCUACAAUGUACGUACAUUAUUAAAUUAUUAAGGAAUUAUAAUACUUGUAAAUGUAUGUGACUAUUUAAAUAUAUUAAAUUAUAAGUAUUUAUUUUAUGUUUUAUUAAAAAAAUUAUAUUAUAGUAUCUUUUGCGUUAUCUAUUCUCCUUCUUAUAUUUUCUAAUAUCUAAUAUUUGCAUGAGUUUUUUGAUGCAAUAUGAAUUAAUAUAGCAUAUAAAUAGACAAGUCAACCCUUUAGCAAAUAUAAUUAAGAUAUUAUAUUAAGAUACACACAGUAUUUAAGAAAGUGAUGUACAUUGACAUUUUAAUUGAUUUUUUUUUAUUUUUUGAUUUAUAAUUUUAUUUUAUUAUUAAAAUUUAUAUUUUGAAAUUGAUAUUUAAUUCAUAUAAUUCAUGUAAUUUUUAUAUUUUUAAAUUAAACUAUAUAUUGCAAUGCAAAAUUCAUAUUUUUGUUUAAAUUCAAAUAAAAUAAUUGAAUGUUGUGAAAGUAUAUUCCACUGUAAUAACAUACUUUAAUUUGAGCUUAAAAUAAUGUUAUUAGUAUAAAAAUAAAUUAAAGUUACAUUUUAAAAAAAAAAUUAUCGCAAAAUAAUUUUCAACGUGAAAUUUUUGUUGGAUGACACUUGCCACCUCAAUAUUUUUUUUUCACCUAUUAAUAUAGGUUGAUUUUCUAAUCUUAAUUUUAUUUUAUUUUUGAAUUUACUAUUUUAAACUUGAAAUUUGAUCCAUAUAAUUCAUUUUAAAUUCAUAUACUUUUUAUUUUUUCAAUUCGAACUAAAAAGUAUAAUUCAUAAUUCAUAUCCUAAUUUUAAAUCAAAUUGAAAUAAUCAAAUAUUGUAGAAGCAUGAUUCCACCACAACAGAGAACUUAAAUUGAAUUUGAAUUCACGUUUUUAAUGUAUAAAAAGUUGAAUUGACAUUUUUUUUUUUUGAAAUUUCUAUCUUACAAUAAUUUUUAAAAUUAAUUUUAUGGUAAUUGAUACUUGUUAUCGAAAUAUUAUUUAGUUUCUCCUAUUUAUAUAGAAAUGUUGUGCACAUUUUAUGAUUUUCACAAUUUAUUUUGUUUUAAGAUUUCCUAUGUUAAACUUGACAUCGUAAUCCAUAUAAAUCAUUCUAAAUUUAUAUAAAACAACACACUCGAUGUAGUCCCAUAAAGUGAAUUUAACUAGAGUAGAAUAUAUACACACCUUACUCCUACCUCAUAAAUUAAAAAAAGUAUUUUAAAUUCAUAUAUAGCAUUUGUCAAAAAUAAAGAAAAAUAUAUACAUAUAAUAAUAGGUAAACACAAAAGGCAAUUGGCCAAAAGAGAAAAUAUUAUCCUUGACUUUCUUUUGUUUUAAAUUUUAAUACAAUUGGAUUUCUUUUGUUUUAAUAAAACGAAAAUUUUCGUCCCAUAUUAAAAAGUUUCCUCCAGCCACACACCUCCACCCUUCUCAUUUCUAAACCUAAAAUCUCCCCCCAAAAUUAAAAAAUCUCAAAAGAAUAAAAUUCCCCCGCAUAAUUUUAAAAUCUAAUUAAAUAACCUAAUCCUACUUCACACUUAACAAACACUCAUAUCCCUUUACCCUCUCCCCAAUUCAUUAUUGUCCCCUCCCCCUCGCCCCUCCCUUCCCCCCUCCCCAUUCGUUUCACCCGUAUUUCAAUUUGUAAUUUGGGUUGAAAUUGUUUAUUUGAUAUUUUGCUAAAUUACUUUUUCUUUUGUAGGCGUUACAAUGUAGAAUUUUCCAAGUAAAGGUAAUUUUCUAUUCGUGUAGGUUUUAAAGUAUUAAUAUUGAAAUUGACAUCUUUCACUUAUGAGAUUACAUUAAGUAUAUUAUUAUUGUUUUAUUGAAAUUUGACAUCGAUAACUAUAGGUUUGAAAAAAUUUAUAAAGUGUGCAAGUUUGUUUACUUCUUUGGUCGCUUUGCACUUUUUCUUGUUUUUAUUGAUUAAAAAUUUUAGAAAUGAAUUAUCUAAAAUAUAUUUUUUCUAUUGAAAUUCUAUGUAUACAAACAAUUGCAUAUAUAAUCAUUAUUCUUGAUAUUCUUGGUGCUAAUAUAUUUUGCAAUUAUUGAUAGAUAUAUUAGUGAAAAAAGAACAUAUAAACGACAACUUAGAAUGGAUAUUGAUCAAGUUAAGGAGCAAUUCAAGAACGUUGAAGGAGAGAGAAGACCAUGCUGCUUUGGAUUCAAAUAAGAUGUUGUCUUAAAAUAAUUGUAUAUUGUGACAAUUCUCAAAAUUGUAACAGUUGUAUAUAACUUGACAACUAUUUGGGAUUUGUAGCUACAUUAUGUAACAUUCCGAUAAACAAGGCAAGUAAAAAAUUCUUUAAUUUGUAAAAAUGAAAUUGUUGAAAAUUAUUUUGGAUUUUAAUAGUUUUUAUUUUAGUUACAU
rnacentral:lncRNA from 1 species